rnacentral:rRNA from 1 species
GACGAACGCUGGCGGCGUGCUUAACACAUGCAAGUCGAACGGAAAGGCCCUGCUUUUGUGGGGUGCUCGAGUGGCGAACGGGUGAGUAACACGUGAGUAACCUGCCCUUGACUUUGGGAUAACUUCAGGAAACUGGUGCUAAUACCUGAUAGGAGCUCCUGCUGCAUGGUGGGGGUUGGAAAGUUUCGGCGGUUGGGGAUGGACUCGCGGCUUAUCAGCUUGUUGGUGGGGUAGUGGCUUACCAAGGCUUUGACGGGUAGCCGGCCUGAGAGGGUGACCAGCCACAAUGGGACUGAGAUACGGACCAGACUCCUACGGGAGGCAGCAGUGGGGAAUAUUGCACAAUGAGGGGAAGCCUGAUGCAGCAACGCCGCGUGCGGGAUGAAGGCCUUCGGGUUGUAAACCGCUUUCGCCUGAGACGAAGCGUGAGUGACGGUAAUGGGUAAAGAAGCACCGGCUAACUACGUG